rnacentral:rRNA from 1 species
UUGACGGAGAGUUUGAUCCUGGCUCAGGACGAACGCUGGCGGCGUGCCUAACACAUGCAAGUCGAACGAGGUCGCCUUCGGGCAAUGACCAAGUGGCGAACGGGUGCGUAACACGUGAGGAACCUGCCCCGAAGACUGGGACAACCAUGGGAAACCGUGGCUAAUACCAGAUGCCUUCCUCUGAUCGCAUGAUCGGAAGAGGAAAUGCUCCGGCGCUUCGGGAGGGCCUCGCGGCCUAUCAGCUUGUUGGUGAGGUAAUGGCUCACCAAGGCAUUGACGGGUAGCUGGUCUGAGAGGACGAUCAGCCACACUGGGACUGAGACACGGCCC